rnacentral:tRNA from 1 species
GCGGGUGUGGCGGAAUUGGCAGACGCGCCGGACUUAGGAUCCGGUGCCCGUAAGGGCGUGCGGGUUCGACUCCCGCCACCCGCACCA